CUAACCGAUACUAAUUGCCCGUGAGGCUUAACCAUACAACACCCAAGGGGUUU
rnacentral:rRNA from 1 species